rnacentral:rRNA from 1 species
GAUGAACGCUGGCGGCGUGCCUAAUACAUGCAAGUCGAGCGAACGGACGAGAAGCUUGCUUCAAUGAUGUUAGCGGCGGACGGGUGAGUAACACGUGGGUAACCUACCUAUAAGACUGGGAUAACUUCGGGAAACGGGAGCUAAUACCGGAUAAUAUUUUGAACCACAUGGUUCAAAAGUGAAAGACGCUCUUGCUGUCACUUAUAGAUGUAUCCGCGUUGCAUUAGCAAGUUGGUAAGGUAACGGCUUACAAAGGCAACGAUGCAUAGCCGACCUGAGAGGGGGAUCGCCCACACUGGAACGGGGCCACGGUCCAGACUCCUACGGGAGGCACCAGUGGGGAAUCUUCCGCAAGGGGGGAAAGCCUGACGGGGCAACGCCGCGUGAGUGAGGAAGGUCUUGGGAUCUUAAAAUCUGGUUAUUGGGGAAGAACAUAUGUGGAAUGAACUGUGCACAUCGUGACGGUACCUAAUCAGAAAGCCACGGCUAACUACGUG